CUUUCCAGAGAUGGAUUGGUGCCUUCGGGAACUGUGAGACAGGUGCUGCAUGGCUGUCGUCAGCUCGUGUUGUGAAAUGUUGGGUUAAGUCCCGCAACGAGCGCAACCCUUAUCCUUUGUUGACAGCGAUUAGGUCGGGAACUCAAAGGAGACUGCCAGUGAUAAACUGGAGGAAGGUGGGGAUGACGCCAGAGAUGGAUUGGUGCCUUCGGGAACUGUGAGACAGGUGCUGCAUGGCUGUCGUCAGCUCGUGUUGUGAAAUGUUGGGUUAAGUCCCGCAACGAGCGCAACCCUUAUCCUAUUGGAGUCGCGAUUAGGUCGGGAACUCAAAGGAGACUGCCAGUGAUAAACUGGAGGAAGGU
rnacentral:rRNA from 1 species